GGCCUUUUGAUUAUAAUUUAAGGUCGGGCCUGCCCAAUGAUGAAUUCAAUGGCCGCGGUAUAUUAACCGUGCAAAGGUAGCAUAAUCAUUAGUUUUUUAAUUGAAAGCUGGAAUGAAGGGUUUAAUGAAAAAAGUACUGUCUUUAUUUAAAUUUAUUAGAAAUUUAUUAUUAAGUAAAAAAGCUUAAAUAAUUAUUAUAGACGAGAAGACCCUAUAGAGUUUAAUAUUAAAUAAAAAAUGUUUAAUUUGGUAUUUUUUACUAUUUUUUUUUUAGUAUUUGAUUGGGGUGAUUGAAAAAUUUAAAAAACUUUUUUUUUAUGGAACGUUGAUGUACGAAUAAUUGAUCCUUUAUUUAGAUUAAAAGAUAAAAUUACCUUAGGGAUAACAGCGUGAUUUUUUUUAGAGUUCUUAUCGAAAGAAAAGAUUGCGACCUCGAUGUUGGAUUAAAAUUAAUUAUUGGUGUAGAAGCUGAUAAAUUAGGUCUGUUCGACCUUUAAAUUUUUACAUGAUCUGAGUUUARACCGGUUUGA
rnacentral:rRNA from 1 species